rnacentral:rRNA from 1 species
UACGUAGGGGGCAAGCGUUGUCCGGAAUCAUCGGGCGUAAAGAGCGUGUAGGCGGCCAGAAAAGUCCGCUGUGAAAACUCGAGGCUCAACUUCGAGCUGUCGGUGGAAACUUUCUGGCUAGAGUCCGGAAGAGGAGAAUGGAAUUCCUGGUGUAGCGGUGAAAUGCGCAGAUAUCAGGAAGAACACCCGUGGCGAAGGCGGUUCUCUGGGACGGUACUGACGCUGAGACGCGAAAGCGUGGGGAGCGAACAGG